rnacentral:rRNA from 1 species
AUUGAACGCUGGCGGCAUGCUUUACACAUGCAAGUCGAACGGCAGCGCGGGGGCAACCCUGGCGGCGAGUGGCGAACGGGUGAGUAAUGCAUCGGAACGUAUCCUGUAAUGGGGGAUAACGUAGCGAAAGUUACGCUAAUACCGCAUACGCUCGAGAGAGGAAAGUGGGGGAGUCGCAAGACCUCACGUUAUAGGAGCGGCCGAUGUCUGAUUAGCUAGUUGGUGGGGUAAAGGCCUACCAAGGCGACGAUCGGUAGCUGGUCUGAGAGGAUGAUCAGCCACACUGGGACUGAGACACGGCCCAGACUCCUACGGGAGGCAGCAGUGGGGGAAUUUUUGGGUACAAAUGGGCGGAAAGACCUGAUCCAGCCAUGCCG